CAUGCAGUCGAACGGAAAGGCCCAGCUUGCUGGGUGCUCGAGUGGCGAACGGGUGAGUAACACGUGGGUGAUCUGCCUCUAACUUCGGGAUAAGCUUGGGAAACUGGGUCUAAUACCGGAUAGGACAAUCGUUUAGUGUCGGUUGUGGAAAGUUUUUUCGGUUAGGGAUGAGCCCGCGGCCUAUCAGCUUGUUGGUGGGGUAAUGGCCUACCAAGGCGUCGACGGGUAGCCGGCCUGAGAGGGUGGACGGCCACAUUGGGACUGAGAUACGGCCCAGACUCCUACGGGAGGCAGCAGUGGGGAAUAUUGCACAAUGGGCGCAAGCCUGAUGCAGCGACGCCGCGUGGGGGAUGACGGCCUUCGGGUUGUAAACCUCUUUCGACAGGGACGAAGCUUUGGUGACGGUACCUGUAUAAGAAGCACCGGCUAACUACGUGCCAGCAGCCGCGGUAAUACGUAGGGUGCGAGCGUUGUCCGGAAUUACUGGGCGUAAAGAGCUCGUAGGUGGUUUGUCGCGACGUCUGCGAAAUUCCGGGGCUUAACUUCGGGCGUGCAGGCGAUACGGGCAUAACUUGAGCGCUGUAGGGGAGACUGGAAUUCCUGGUGUAGCGGUGGAAUGCGCAGAUAUCAGGAGGAACACCGAUGGCGAAGGCAGGUCUCUGGGCAGUAACUGACGCUGAGGAGCGAAAGCAUGGGGAGCGAAUAGGAUUAGAUACCCUGGUAGUCCAUGCCGUAAACGGUGGGCGCUAGGUGUAGGGGUCUUCCACGACUUCUGUGCCGUAGCUAACGCAUUAAGCGCCCCGCCUGGGGAGUACGGCCGCAAGGCUAAAACUC
rnacentral:rRNA from 1 species